UACGACCAUAGGCGAAAAUCAGCGAACUGGGUCCCGUCCGAUCCCCACACGUUAAUCCUUCGACCGGCGGACUAGUAGUUAGGUGGGUGACCACUGGCGAAUCCCCGCUGUCGUAUG